UGCUCCUAUAGUCUAGAGGCCAAGGACACUGCCCUUUCACGGCAGUAACCCGAGUUCGAAUCUCGGUGGGAGCGU
rnacentral:tRNA from 1 species